CAGUUAUCGAUAUCAAGAAAUGUCACAAGAUUUGCGAAACUGUAUUGAAGGGAAAGAAGAGUGAGAUAGAAGAAUGUAAAAAAUAUUGUUGAGCUUAUCAAAUACAGCUGGAAUUGAAUGGGAAUGCAAGCAAAUGUGUGA